rnacentral:lncRNA from 10 species
UGCCCGGCCGCCACCCCGUCUGGGAAGUAAGGAGCGUCUCUGCCUGGCCGCCCAUCGUCUGGGAUAUGAGGAGCCCCUCUGCCUGGCUGCCCAGUCUGGAAAGUGAGGAGCAUCUCUGCCCGGCCGCCAUCCCAUCUAGAAGUGAGGAGCGCCUCUUCCCGGCCGGCCGCCAUCACAUCUAGGAAGUGAGAAGCGUCUCUGCCCGGCCGCCCAUCGUCUGAGAUGUGGGGAGCGCCUCUGUCCCGCCGCCCCGUCUGGGAGGUGAGGAGCGCCUCUGCCCGGCCGCGACCCCGUCUGGGAGGUGAAGAGCGUCUCUGCCCGGCCGCCCCGUCUGAGAAGUGAGGAGCCCCUCCGCCCGGCAGCCGCCCUGUCUGAGAAAAAUCAUCCAUGACUUCCUGCAAUGGAAGAUGAGGACACAGCUAAGUAUGAACAUUCAUCUUUUGAGGGCCACACAGGCACAAAUGUUACAGCUACAAGAGGAAAGAAGGUCACAACUGAGGAAAAGGGGCUGAGGGAACUCAAAAAAUACUGCAACUGGCAACAGAGACCACCAUCAAGGGAUAAAAUUACUUCAGCACCUACACACAAAACGCAGAGCAGCUGGAGAAAGGGGCAUGGGAAAAAAAGGCUGCUCAAGAGCAAACCUGAAGACCCUGUUUAUUAGCCAUUUCUCUCCCUGCAAGUGACUGGCAAUCCAUUUUGACUGAACUUGGGAUUCUGAGAUGCUCCGAAUGCCCUCUCUGGUGUUUUUACAGUUGAGGGGAGAAGAGGGUCUGUUCUCCAGGUAAUCUAACACCUCAAGGCUCUGGGUAAGUCUGCAAAAAGUUUUCAAAGGCAAAUUUGGAAGUGAGAAGGGUUACACGUGAUUUUCUGGAAUAAAACAAGAUUUUAUGCUGGUCAUGGGAAAUGCCUUACUGUUGCUUGUGGGGUUUUGGUGUAGCAGAUCAUGAUGAAAUGCAAAAGAAGGCAAUGAAAGAAGGAAGAAUGUAGACAUUUACAGCUCCCAUUUAUGGAGAUUUAUAUGAGGCAGUCCCUUUUUCUGUAUUAACUUAUUUAAACCUCAUAAAAAGUCACAAUUUUAUAGGUGAACAAACUGAAGCUUAGAGAUGAAAGGUAAGGUAACUUAUCC